GUCUGCGAUUAUGCCACCCUGAAUGCAUCCAGCCUGGUCUGAUCUCAGAAGCUAUACAGGGUCAGGCCUAGUUAGCAUUUAUCAGGGAAGAGAAGAGGCGUCAUUCCAACUUAAACUGUGGGAGAUUUCAGCCC
rnacentral:rRNA from 14 species